GAAGUCGGAAUCCGCUAAGGAGUGUGUAACAACUCACCUGCCGAAGUUAGUAGCCCUAUACCCAUUGGGCGAAAGGGAAUCCGGUUUAUACUUAACCGUCGGGACAGUAGCAACAUUUGUUUCAUAUACGUUAUGUCCAAGUGUUAUUAGGUCCCGACGAGUAGGAUGGUCACAACGGUGAGCGCAGAAGGAUUGGGCGUGAGCCUGUCUGGAGCCGCCGUU
rnacentral:rRNA from 1 species